ACCUCGCGGGAGAGCCCGGCCGAUCGAGCAAGCCGGCGCCGAAGGAGCAAGCACCCCGCAAACUCUCAGGCCCAUGGACCGCGAGGGG
rnacentral:ncRNA from 1 species